UUAGACAUAAAUGUAGAAGGCUGUAGUGAGAGUCCUAUGUAUUGGAUAAGUGGGUCCUAGCUAUUCCAAAUGAGCUACAGCUGUGAAGUCCUUAGUUGGGCAGCAGCUGUAGCUCGUGAAGAUAGCUGGGAUAAAAGGGGGGUGGGCCAAGAGUCCUGGAGGAGGCUCUGUGAAGCCAUGAGGAACUGCACAGCAGAGAAGAGUGGCAUGGUAGAAAACUAGCUGGAAGGAGCUGUGUAUUGGAAGCAGGCAGCAUCUUUGCCAGUGUUCACCAGCCAGAGGAAAAAUCCUGACGUGUAAAUCAGACUAUCCACAGUAUAGAUGUUGCCUCCUCGCUGCCUUCCUUUUGGCACCUUGCGAACUCCAGUUAUGAAAUCCUUAAUCAAUGUGUUCUCAGUCUGCAGUUGCUACUUUUCCCUGUUUCCAUGGCUUGAGAGGAAAAGGAUAAUUCUAGAAGUAUCAGCUACUUACAGCCAGCCUUUGCCCUACUCAGAGGAGGACCAAAGAACUUUCCUCCUUACUUCAUACAAUGCAGGGAAAACAGCAGCAGCACUUGCUUUAUGGAACAUACAAAAUGGAAGCAAAUAAACAUGACAGCACUCUCUAUAAAGAAUGAGCAAUCCCACAGAUACCAUGUUCUCUCUCACCUGUCGUCUGUCCCUGUGUGACAGUUUUCUGGAUUCCAGCACAUGCCAUUUGCUUGGACAAACAACUCCCAAGAGAGCUGCCCAGUAAUGCAGCAGACUGAAAUCACCUAGAGGAGGUGCUAUUCAUUUUAGAGAAAAAGAGAAUUUUGUGUUUUAUGUGUGUUUAUGUGUAAUUUUGUACAUUAUGUGUUUGUAGGACCUGGGAGGACACCUCCAAAAUUCCUUAAUGACUAAGUAAUUUUGUGUCCCAAAGGCAGAAAUACUCGCAAAGUGAAAGCCAACCUGCAACACAUCAUGUAAGGAUGUUCAGUAGCACACAGGCUGCUCCCUGGCCUGCCCUGCUGCCUCUGGCCCCCCUUCCUUGCUGUGCAGCAGCUCAUUCUGAUUAUCAGGACAUGCUGGGCUGCAGGGACAGACUACUGGCCUAUAAAGGUCCCAGCUAUAAAACAUCUCUUUUUCAGGUACUUCAGCUGAAAGAACUCCUGUCAAGCAGAGCUGUGGAUUAAACUACACAUAAAGCAGAUUCCUCUUCAUUGGGGGCAGUUAGGGAUGACCUCCUGGACAUUCUAAAGGACUACUUAAAUCACUGCAGUACAACAUGGAAAAAUACUAAAAAGGUCUUAUUCUAUGUCUGUCCCUCAGCUUUAGUAUAUUUUUUUAAUAGGUUGAGGGAGCUUACUUGAAAAUGUGGCUAUAUUAUACUAUACUGUAUAAAUACUAUACUGUAGCCACAUUCUGGAAAACAAAUACAGCACCUUGCAGGAUCCAGACACACUGGCCCUGCAUCAGCAACCAAAUGAUAAUGCUGUUUUCCAUCAUCCACUAACAGAUUCAGUAUUUCAGUAGUUCUUGAUACAGAUUAAUGCCCUACAUGGUGCAUUAAAACUUUGUUUCCCCCAAAUAUUGGUGUAUGUAGCCUACCUUCAAUGUAGUCCCUUUGAAUUCAGUGAUAGUUCUCAUUUAGAGACAAUAACUUGAGCAGAGGGUGUAGGAUCACAGAAAUGUAAUGGCUGUACAUAGCAACAUAGUUACUGCUAGAAUAAAAUAAUAGUUUUGAAAUUAUUUCUUUAUUUCAAAGACUUCAUGUAAAUUGCUGCAGAUUACUCAGUAAAAGAGUGACCAAAUGA